AGUGAUGAAAUAAGGAGAUUAAAGAAAAUUUUAAUAUUUCGUACCAAUUUUUAGUUUUAGAAAAAUAAAGUAAAUGAUAAAAAUUUGUAUAAUAACAUCAAAGGAGCACACGUUGCUGAUUGAGCAAUUGGCUAAGCGUGAAAGUAGGUGACCGCUUUGAUCGAAGUACUUUGCAAAGCGUCGAUUUUAAAUGUUUAAACAACAACAACAAUGAUGGGAAGUUUACUUUCCAAUGCAACUGCUGUUUAAUUAACUGAUGGGGAUGAAUUAAUUAUUCAGUUCAAGGGUAACACUUGCAAUCCGAGCAUUACCUUGACAUAGAACAGGGAAAAAAUUAAAGGACUUCUGAAUUAGCUUACUUCGAAUUGACGAUUAGUUGCCCUGGGAUAGAAGUUGUGCACAAAUAAAAUAAUUCUUAGUCUAUCCAAUUAAACAAUUCUUCGCCCAAUUACUUUUGCAUUCGUAUUUUUGAUCGCAUCUUUUCAAUGUCAAUGAAAGGAAACGUAGAAGAAGGUAUAAAGUGAAUUACAGAAUAUACGUCAUUCGUAUCUUUUUAUUACUUCUUUUUCAAUAAAAAUUUUCUAUUGAGAGUUCCUUUAAGAAAAAUGGAUAAAGGAAAGACAUUAAAAAAGUACAUAUUUUUGUUGUAUUCUAUAAACGAAGAAAGUACAAAAGAAAUGUGUUUACUGUAUUUAAGAAGAACAUACAAAGAGGAGGUGUUUAUUACAGUUAAGGAAAACGUAGAAGGGAAAAGUUUUGAGUCAUAGAUAUUUUAUUCAAGAAUUCUCAACGUGCCACACUAAAAGGAUGGAUUUCGUUACAUUACACUUUCAGGCAUCUUUCUUAUCACCAUUCUUCUCAAUAAAGAUAUUUCAUUAGCAAUUUUUAAAAAUAUCUUUUGCAAGCCUUUCUUCUAUAUUUUAAUAGAUCUAUACAAAAUAAUCUAUAAAAAAAUUAUUUAUACUUCUAUCAUAUUAUUUUUGCCAAUUUUUAGCUGGCCAAAUACAAAAGUUAUGCAACACGUAUAACAUAAAUGUCGAAAGAAAUAAACGCGAGUACAUUACUUCAGAAUCUGAGAGAAUAAGAGAAACCGAGAGUUUAGCCGGAAAUUUAGCCUUUAGUUCUGGUCUGUAGGGAUCGAUGAACUAUUCUCUCGACAAUCCCGUUCAGAAAUUACGCGAUGGGAACCCGAAAGGGGAAGUCCCUACAAAGUAGCAACCUAAACAUAAAAAAAAGAACGAUGCACGCCCUUCUACGAUAGAAGCAAACACUUUUCACCACACUUUCUCCUCUUCUUUUCAUCUCGCUUCCCGUUUCUUCUCUUCGUCUCUUCUAUCUCUAAAAGCAAAAAAUUCUAAAUCAAUACAGCAUCGAUACAUUACCUAACACUUGUAUAUGUUUUUUAAACAAUUAAAGGGAAUUUUUGUUAUUAUCCAUUCCACCCUUAUAAUAUGCAAUUAUUUAAUAAUAAUGAAACACACAAUAGCGUUCAUUCUUUUUUCCCUCGGCGUCUCUUAUUAGAAGAAUUCUUAAUUAAACGAUUUAUUACUUCUCCGUAUUUUUCGUAUUUUUAUUAUAACAUUUUAAUAAUGUUUGAAAUGAUUGAUAUAACAUUCUCCGCUUCGUUGUACCUGUAAGAUAUAUUGAGAAAGUUUAACCGUUGAAUCCCGUGUCGCGCUUGUAAUAUUAUAAUGUCACAUAUUAUAUGAUAUAUACGACAAAUAAAAUACAUUUCAAAAUGAAGAGAGAACUAAAAUAUUGAAACGAAGAAACAAACGAAGGGCCGAUAAGAAGUACAAAUUUUUCUAAUUAUCGGUUACAUUGCAACGAGCUGGAUGAAAUUGCGCUUUUUAUAGCCUACCAGCUGGCAAGUUAAUUGCCGCUACUGUUCCUCCCGACUUUUACUAUGCACACGCGCACACCAGCUUAUCAGACCUCGUCUAAUGCACUUAUCCUUCACCUAGACGCGUACACACGCGUGCAUCAGAUCGCGUGUACGUGCCCGUUUCAAUGCCUGUUAAUAGUUUCGAAAUUUGAUUGUUGCCGGUACAUAAUGGAACACCGGGACCCCUUUCAGUCGCUCUAGGUCAAUUGAACGCUCGUUCACGAGUCAGCACAAUUGUUUUAUCAUAAAGAAACUUUAAGUACACCGGCUACGCACACUUAUUUCUUAAUAAAACAAUUUUUUUUAUCAUGCUCUAUACAUAUCAUUUUCAUAAUAUGAAAUUUUUGCAGCCAUACGAAAGUGCUACAGAACGGUACGGAAUUUAAUAUACUUGUACCUAAUUACUCAAUGUGGAAAUAUUGUAAGAAAUGUACUAGUGUGACAAAAAUCUCAAUAAAAAAUAAAUCUUUUUGUAACCAUUGUACUUGUACUGGGAAGGUAUAUUGAAAUGGUUAAAUUUCUCUUAAAAAUAAAGGUUAGAAAAUGAAUGUGAACAUUACGAUAGUUUUACAUAUAUGCACGUGGAAUUGGAGCGGUAUUUCAUUUCACUAUAAAAAUGUGGAAAAUGUUGAUAUCAUUUUUAGAAUUUCUCCGAGAUCGUAAAGUAAGGAAUACUUUUAAAGGUGAUUGUUAUUUAAUAAGCUUUGCAGGGAAAUAGAUAACAGAGUGACUUAGAAAAUAAAAAUUUGUGAUAAUAUAUCGUUACCUAGGAGGUUAGGAUAUAUAAUUACCUUACUUUUUUUUAUAGUCAAGUAUAUAUAUAUUCUAAAUUUUUAGCAUUAUAACAAUAAUUCUCCUACUCUCUAAUUAUAUACAUUUCGAAAUUCUCCCAAACAACAAGACUUGUUGGAAACAACAAGAGAGAUUUAUGUCCGUGAAAAAGCCCAAUUGUCAGAAGAAAGAGUCGCACCUGGAGAAGGCUGUCAACUGUAACCAUACAAAACCUAGAAACAAACGUGGGUAAGCCUAAUAUGAUUACGGUCUACGUAAGCAAUGUCGCCGUCUACGUAAUACGACGUUAGCACCUUCUGAAUGGCUAUCCUGAACGCUUGGCCCAGCGAGCCCAUAUACAUAUACGAUUCUCGGGAAUAGAUGGCCUCAUUGCAUAGACGCGGUCUGUUACCAGCUGGAUCAAUAACGCUGCUGACAGACUUAGCUGGAUGUUCGGGAAAAGUGGAGGUGGUAGAGGAACAGGGACGUACCGUGGCGGACAAAAGAAAAUUUACGAAACAAGAGAUAUAAAAAGGCACCAUGAAAAAUAAAAAAGAACACCAUUUUACAAAAUGGAUUUAUAUUUGAUAGGAACAAUUAACGAAUAUGGUAUACCAAUUAUCAAUGUGACAAAAAAUUUUCAGUGCAAAAGUUAUUAACAAUAAGCAUAUCAAUUUAAAAUUUUCUUUUAUCCGUCACUGUAGAAUCUAAAAAUUCAACAGAAAUCCUUCAUGCGAAACUAAACUAUAGUCGAUAUCGACUGGAUUAAAUUUUAUUCAAACUGCUUAGGAAGGUUACGUGGAGCAAUCCGUUCAAUUGUCAGUUCAAAGGUAUCUUUAUCUAGAGACCAGAAAAAAAAAAGUUGAAUAUAAAAUAAUGGACGUUUGAUGCAUUAAAGAAGAAGAUAUCUUUUGCCUUUGUGUAUAGUAGUGUAUAGUAUUACUGUGAUAUUGCUUGGGAGUGUGAAAUGAUUCAUAUUGUAAUUAUUAAUAAUGCUAUUAGAAUAAUUAUUACGUAUUCGUAAUAAUAGUAAUAGAAGAGUUGUUAUUAUUAUUCAUUUAUUUUUGUGGAAGUACAUAAAUGAUUUUUUUAAAGAUCGUAUGUGAAGGUGAAACAUUUUAUUGCCAGCUUAAGCUAUUGUUAAAUCAUAAAGACGUGUAAAGUGUCUAUUUACUAUCAAAUCCAAAAUACUAUCAUAAUGAAUGGUCGCUCGGACGUCGCCGAAGGCAGACUGAUUCUCGUCGAUCGUAACUUCGACUUUUCUACUUACUACCCCUAUCGUUCGACGCGCAUGCGCAUACAUUCGCCAGUAGUAUAUCCAAAAAAGGAUAUGCCACUUUAUAAAAAAUGUUUGUCUAAAAAAAUCGAAUCAUUUCGGGGGAUGAACAAAAUUCAUAUAGUUCAAUGAUAAAUAAAUGGAAUUAAUUUACUACCAAUUCGUUAUUAAAAAAGUUGAACCAUAUUAAAAGUAAAACAAUACUAAUUACGUAACUCACAGAAUUAACAAAACAAUAUAACGCUACAUGAAGCAUCUGUAAUUUACUAUCGAACGAAUGAAACUAUCAUCGAAAAUUUACAGGAAACUCUUUCAUUGCUAAAUUUCAAUUCGCAACACAAUUUGCCCAACAUUUACGAUAACCCGUAAAACCAUUUAUUUACCAUUACUGCUCUAAUUAAUUUCACCGUGAAACAGGUUUGGACUCUCUCAAACUUGAUUGAAAGUCUCAUAAUCUCAUUAGAAUGCAACCAUGAUUGAAUUUAAGAACACCAAGGAUCCUUGAAGAGAAUAUUACGUUCCUGUGGAUUUGGUAUUGGGGAAGGGGAAACGUCUCAGAACGUGGCCCAGGUCGAAUAGACGAACAAGGGUAGGAGGUGAUACGUAGCUCGGUCACGAAAUUUCGAGGUCUUCGGACUCUGUGAAAAGCGGAGAAGAGAGAAAACGAACCACUAAAGAGCUAAGAUGUGGGAACAAAGUAUACACCUAGGGAUCAAGGGACACGUUACGUGCCAUCUGAUUGAUCAAUAUCACACUACCACGUAAUGUAACAUUGCCUACCAUGCUAUACAGAGUGUCUCACAAAGAUAUGGUACUAUCAGAUAAAAUAUGAUUCCCAAUGGAUAAAUGGCGAAUAAAAUGUUAUUGGAAUGAAGAUCGGAGAUAUACAAACAGAAAAAACCAAUAAGACAUAUAUCUUCUUUUUAUAAAUUUAAGUAAAAGGAUUUAACAUGCUUAUUGAGAAAAAUUCAAAUUUAUAUAAAUAGCUAUUUUAAUAUUUCAUUUGCCAAUAAGCUGUGUAAACGAAUCUGCCAAUUC